AGUGAACGCUGGCGGUAGGCCUAACACAUGCAAGUCGAACGGCAGCACAGUAAGAGCUUGCUCUUACGGGUGGCGAGUGGCGGAUGGGUGAGGAAUACAUCGGCCUCUACUCUUUCGUGGGGGUUAGCGUCGGGAAACUUAAGCUAAUACCGCAUACGACCUACGGGUGAAAGCAGGGGAUCUUCGGCGCUUGUGCGUUUGAAUGAGCCGAUGUCGGAUUAGCUAGUUGGCGGGGUAAAGGCCCGCCACGGCGGCGAUCCGUAGCUGGACGGGGAGGAUGGUCGCCCGCACUGGAACUGGGACACCGACCAGACUCCUACGGGAGGCAGCAGACGGGAAUGUGGGGCAAUGGGCGCAAACCUUGUCCAACCAUCCCGCGUGGGUGGAAGAGGCCUUCGGUUUGUAAAGCCCUUUUGUUGGUUGAAAAAAGCAGCAAGUUGAUACCCCGCUGUUCUGACGGUACCCAAAGAAUAAGCACCGGCUAACUUCGUG
rnacentral:rRNA from 1 species